rnacentral:rRNA from 1 species
GACAGAGGGUGCAAACGUUGUUCGGAAUUACUGGGCGUAAAGCGCGUGUAGGCGGUUUCCUACGUCAGGUGUGAAAGCCCCGGGCUCAACCCGGGAAGUGCACUUGAAACUGGGAGGCUAGAGUAUCGGAGAGGUUGGUGGAAUUCUCGGUGUAGAGGUGAAAUUCGUAGAUAUCGAGAGGAACACCGGUGGCGAAGGCGGCCAACUGGACGAAUACUGACGCUGAGACUCGAAAGCGUGGGGAGCAAACAGG